UAUCCUUAUUUGCCAGCGCGUUAUGGCGGGAACUCUAAGGAGACUGCCGGUGAUAAACCGGAGGAAGGUGAGGACGACGUCAAGUCAUCAUGGCCCUUACGCAUAGGGCUACACACGUGCUACAAUGGAGAAUACAGACGGACGCUAAGCCGCGAGGUGGUGCCAAUCCUAGAAAAUCCUUCGUAGUCCGGAUUGGAGUCUGCAACUCGACUCCAUGAAGUCGGAAUCGCUAGUAAUCGCGAAUCAGCAUGUCGCGGUGAAUACGUUC
rnacentral:rRNA from 1 species